rnacentral:tRNA from 1 species
GACCCGGUAGCUCAGUUGGUAGAGCAGUAGCCUUUUAAGCUAAUGGUCGUGGGUUCAAUCCCCACCCGGGUCA